GGUGUAUAUGUGAACACCUGAGAAAGAGCCUGGAUCCUGUUGGCAUAACUGAGAGACUGUACCAGCCCUGGAUUGAAGAUCUCCAAAUUAUUACUCAGGUUUAAAAUGUCCUCAAAAUGAGGAGCCAAGAUGGCGAAACAGCAUGGAAAGAUUUUUUGUAUCUCGCAUCCAUAAAAUACAGCCAGAUCAACACUAAACCCUCCUGCACACCUAGAAAACUAAUUGGAGGAUUAACACCACAAUCUUCACAACCUGAACCACAGAACUCAGCAGAAAGCCAGCUUAUUGGAGGACCCACUCAUAGUUAUCAAU